rnacentral:rRNA from 1 species
AUUGAACGCUGGCGGCAGGCCUAACACAUGCAAGUCGAACGGCAGCACAGAAGAGCUUGCUCUUUGGGUGGCGAGUGGCGGACGGGUGAGUAAUGUCUGGGAAACUGCCCGAUGGAGGGGGAUAACUACUGGAAACGGUAGCUAAUACCGCAUAACGUCGCGAGACCAAAGUGGGGGACCUUCGGGCCUCACACCAUCGGAUGUGCCCAGAUGGGAUUAGCUAGUAGGUGGGGUAAUGGCCCACCUAGGCGACGAUCCCUAGCUGGUCUGAGGGGAUGAGCAGCCACACUGGAACUGAGACACGGUCCAGACUCCUACGGGAGGCAGCAGUGGGGAAUAUUGCACAAUGGGCGCAAGCCUGAUGCAGCCAUGCCGCGUGUAUGAAGAAGGCCUUCGGGUUGUAAAGUACUUUCAGCGGGGAGGAAGGCGGUGAGGUUAAUAACCUUGCCGAUUGACGUUACCCGCAGAAGAAGCACCGGCUAACUCCGUGCCAGCAGCCGCAGUAA